rnacentral:rRNA from 1 species
GACGAACGCUGGCGGCGUGCCUAAUACAUGCAAGUAGAACGCUGAAGAGAGGAGCUUGCUCUUCUUGGAUGAGUUGCGAACGGGUGAGUAACGCGUAGGUAACCUGCCUUGUAGCGGGGGAUAACUAUUGGAAACGAUAGCUAAUACCGCAUAACAAUGGAUGACACAUGUCAUUUAUUUGAAAGGGGCAAUUGCUCCACUACAAGAUGGACCUGCGUUGUAUUAGCUAGUAGGUGAGGUAACGGCUCACCUAGGCGACGAUACAUAGCCGACCUGAGAGGGUGAUCGGCCAAACUGGGACUGAGACACGGCCCAGACUCCUACGGGAGGCAGCAGUAGGGAAUCUUCGGCAAUGGGGGCAACCCUGAACGAGCAACGCCGCGUGAGUGAAGAAGGUUUUCGGAUCGUAAAGCUCUGUUGUAAGUCAAGAACGAGUGUGAGAGUGGAAAGUUCACACUGUGACGGUAGCUUACCAGAAAGGGACGGCUAACUACGUG